AAGUGCGAAUGCUGACAUAAGUAACGAUACUGCGGGUUAAUUGCCCGCUCGCCGUUAGACCUAGGGUUCCUGUCCUACGUUAUUCGGGGCAGGGUUAGUCGACCCCUAAGGCGAGGCCGAAAGGCGUAUUCGAUGGGAAACGGGUUACUAUUCCCGUACUAGGUGUUACUGCGAAGGGGGGCCGGAUCAGGCUAUGUAGGCCGGGCGACGGUAGUCCCGGAUUAAGCGUGAAGGUGAGUGUUACAGGAAAAU
rnacentral:rRNA from 1 species